GACACGGCUGCUCUUCAGAAAUGGCUGGCUCUGGGACUGCUCGGCUAUCUUCUGGUCUGAUGUCACGGUCUGCAAGAAAAAGAAAACGCCUAUAUUCUCUAAUCAGAAGGGGGAAAAAUAACUGCCCUUGUGGGAAUGAUCUAAUGAAGCUAAAAAUAAAGCUUUUGGGAAGUCCUGAGGACUUUCGAGCGCGGCCCUAUUAUUUGAGGAGAAGGUUGGAAAGAGCUAAGGAUAGCCAUAAAUAAAAUCUGAAAGCGGCGAGACCAUGUCUAAUUCCACAUCACAGAUAAUCUCUAAGAGCCAGUAAGGAAACGCCACUUAAGGUCACAGUAGAUUAAGGACAGACCACAGAGCUGGCCAAGAGGAGACACAGGCUAACGGAGGUGGUCUGAACUGGGAUUCCUUGCCAGUGAACAGCAAAACAAAAAUCGAGGAACCAAGAUUCCCAGUAGGGACAGACCGGGAAGACUUGGCUAAGACCACGGUGUUUAGCCUGGAACAUGAUCUAGUCCGUCUCUGCUAGAGACGCAAAGUUGUCAACACAGGAAAUACUUCAAGGCAGGCAGAUGACAAGGUCAAUUCUCGGCAUUUUGAGAACGAGGAAAGGCAGUGACGGAGCAGACUGGGGUGGUGUUUGUGGGGGUGGAAGAUGCCCAAAGUAGAAGGACCCAGACGCUCAAGUAACAGGAAAGAUCAGCUUCCGGGGAAGCGAGAGCUGCGAAAGCGACAGGAACGUUCCUGGGGAGGGGCUCAAUAAAACAUAAGCAGAGUCAAAUAUGUAAUGAUCUACACACUAGGCAGUUUAUCAGCAAACGAACAACAGAAGCGGCGCCAGACCGGCGCUUCUGCACAAGCAGGAGGCGGAGCGCUGCCCCAGACACAGGCGACAACUAAAACUAGGCCCGUCAACGCCGGUAGAGUCGGGAAAGAUAAAAAGCCGCAUUUAAAACGUGUUUCUUUGGUCCCUUUGACAACAGGAGGCUGCGGCAGACCCCCGGGAACCCCGAGUGUCCCGUGCUGCCGGCCUCGUCACGGUCCCCGCCAGCACGCGCCCAGAGCUCUCCUGUCCCCCCUCGUCCCUGGCGCCCUGGGGAACGGCGCAGGCCGACUCCUGAGGGCGGCGCGUCCCCGGUAGGGACGGGAAGGUCCACGCGACACGGGUCUUGGGGAAUGGCCAAGCUUCCGCGUAAGAAACGGGUACGUUUCCUUAACAGAACGGCACUUGGCAAGCCACGUGUACAGCACGUGCCCGUGAGGAACGGCUCCCGGAAGCGCUUCCCGGUGAGCAGGUGGAGACCGCGGCCUGUGAGGCCGUUCGGCGGCUGUCUCCAGCCCCGGAGUCCCAGGGGAAGCCAGGACGUGCUCUCCACGUUGUCACGUCCGCGCGGUAACCAACGGAAUGACCAGAACGGCAGUGGCGGGGCAGAGAAGGAAGGCUUGGAGGACCGUGGGGCGUGAGCUCGGGAACUCCCGAGCCUGCACCGCUGGGUUUCCAAGGUGCAGGGCGCACGGAGCCAUAGGAUGAACACGCCCAAGACCCUACUUGGGUAGACGAGGGAGGUGGGUGAGAUUAGGUAAACGGGGCAGAGGCCCCAGGAGAGGACAGAGGUUUAAGAAUAGGGAAUCGCAGGAUGACAGCAUCCAAGAGGAGCUAAACAAGAUGAGGCUUCAGGGCGGAAAGCCCCUCCCCCCCUCCCCCGACUUAGUACAGUAGCAGGAAGCUGAUUUCACAGGAAGGAAGGACCCAAUUAGGCAAACAGGUACAGAGGGCUAUAGACCACCACGGGAUGAUGUCACCCAGAGCGGAGCUAAUUAGCAAAAGAAAGGUGCUUGUAGACCCUGAGGUGCAGGCUCUUUCUAGUCCCCUGAGACCCAACCUUCCAACCUUCCGCCAGGAGUUUGUUUUGUACUGACCCAAACCCCCAACACGGCCUACCUUCAAAACCCCCUCCCCCCCACGCCCAUGAGUUAACCUUCACGAUUUCAUGGAUUUCACGGUCUCUUUGUGUGCACCCGUCCCCAGGCUCGUAUGCCUCCUGAUCCUAAUAAAAACAAAGCAAGACCCCUGCUCGGGGCUCUUGUCUCCUCCCGACAUUAGCCUUUCUCACAUUUUUAAUCCUGCAUCCGGCUUUCUUGCUAGACCAGAGAGAACUCCAGACCCAGGGUCUGCGACAGAGAAAGUUCCAGAAGGCCAGACUGAACCGCACCAUUCCUACUGCAGAAAGGCAUCUGCACUUUACUAGCGUGAAGCUGUGGGCACUGAGCGCAGGACGGCAACACCCCUGUGCGUGGAGAAGUACUCACACACGCGGACGGGCGGACUGCCACACACCAGGGAGACCGUAGGGAUCGCGGCUACGCAUCAAGAUUCUGCAGAGACCAGGUCACCAAGACAGCCCAGAGGAGACGGCAGAAAGAGGGCAAGGGAGACAAUACAAGGACCAGGAGCCACUUCGGUGCAGAAACCACUAAUGGUUCCUGAAUGGCCUACAGAAUAAAGCCUUCAACACCUCGUCUAGACAUCAGAGGCUUGUCCUGUUCCAACUUCUUCAACCAUUUGUUUACCAUCUGCCCAAAGAAACCAGCUCCCACAAUCUUCAUGAACCCUAUGUGACACCUUUCUUACUUGUGAACCUUUGCUCAAAAUCUUCUCCAUACCGAGGGGCGCCUGGGUGGCUCAGUCGGUUAAGCGUCCAACUCCUGAUUUCAGCUCGGGUAACCAUCUCACGGUGCAUGAGUUCCAGCCCCGCUGACAGCACAGAGCCUGCUUGGGAUUCUCUCUCUCUGCCCCUCCUCCACUCA